AUACCAUGAUGGGGACAUUUCCUCAAUAGCUCCUUAAAACAUUCCCAAGCAUCAUAUAAUGACUCUCCAUCCAUCUGAUAGAAGUUAUUAAUUCCUCCCCUUAGUUU